CUUAACCCACUGUGCUACUGCUGGGCCCCCGAUUUAUGAUUUUAGAUACAUACACUAUUAUCUCAUUUACUCAUUACACGACUACCAUGGGGCUGUUGGUAAUAUUUCCAUUUUACAUACAGGGAAAGGAAGAGGAGAUUAAGUCACUUGACUAAGGUGCUUGUAAGUGGCACUAACAGCACUAAAACUCUGAUCUCUUUGUUUCUGAUAUUUUAUUUGACUGUAUGUUUUUGUCAUCACUAGGGUUCUACUGAUACAGGAUGACUUUUUCAGACAGAGAAAUAGACCGACAAAAGUGAAAGAGACCCAUGAGAAAUCCUUAAAGCCACAUGGUCCAGACUGUACAGAUGAGAGAUGACAAGAGGGGAGCCACGCUGGGGGCUCUCUAGGACCACGCUAAGCUUUGGAUUGCCAGAUAACCCCCUCUCAUCUCACCCAGCUCUGCUGACCACUCUGUGACAGGC